rnacentral:rRNA from 1 species
UACGUAGGGCGCAAGCGUUAUCCGGAAUUAUUGGGCGUAAAGAGCUCGUAGGCGGUUUGUCGCGUCUGCCGUGAAAGUCCGGGGCUCAACUCCGGAUCUGCGGUGGGUACGGGCAGACUAGAGUGAUGUAGGGGAGACUGGAAUUCCUGGUGUAGCGGUGAAAUGCGCAGAUAUCAGGAGGAACACCGGUGGCGAAGGCGGCUUCCUGGACAAAAACUGACGCUGAGGCGCGAAAGUGUGGGGAGCGAACAGG